rfam:Triticum aestivum genome assembly, contig: Triticum_aestivum_CS42_TGACv1_scaffold_050481_1BS
UUUGUACUCCCUCCGUCCCAAAAUUCUUGUUUUAAAUUUGUCUAAAUACGGAUGUUUCUAGUUACAUUUCAGUGUUAGAUGCAUCCGUAUCUAAACAAAUGUCAGACAAGAAUUUUGGGACGAAGGGAAUACUAC